GAAAAUAAGCACAUAGUUCGGCACAGAAACAACCAUGAGCAAUACGUCCAAUAUGUCCAUCAAAUUGAUACUUUCAUGCCUCUGCAUAAUCCUCAUUUCUCUCGCUGUCAACACCAUAGCAAUUAGCAUCAAAAGAGAAACUCUAGAAUUUCUCAUUGGUAACAGAGGAAGAGGCGAAGCUAAAAGCUGCAAGAAUGAAAAUCACAAAAACAACAAGAUAACCAUUCCACUGGAGUGUCCAAAAUUGGCAGUUCCUCUACCCCCAACCCCAUCUCUAUCUCUCAAAACAGGAGUCUUGGUAUUUGUUGAUCAAAGGUUGGCUGUGGUGUACCCUAUCGUCCAAAAGUUCAAGUCUAUAAUCACCUCAGAUCCUCAUGGCAUUACUAAGACCUGGGUAGGCUCAGAUAUAUGCAGCUACAAAGGUUUCUUCUGCGACAACCCUCCAGACAACAAGUCAGCAAUAGCUGUUGCUUCCAUAGACUUCAACGGAUUCCAACUUGCUGCUCCUACACUCGACGGAUUCCUUGAUCAGCUUCCUGAUAUUGCACUCUUUCACGCGAAUUCCAACUUCUUUUCUGGUACUAUCUCCCCAAAAAUUGCUAAGCUUCCCUAUCUCUACGAGCUUGAUAUAAGUAACAACCUCUUCUCUGGUUCAUUUCCCUCAGCGGUUCUUGGCAUGAAUGGUCUAACAUUCUUGGACAUUCGGUUCAAUUUCUUUUCUGGGUCAAUACCUCCUCAGUUAUUUACACAACCAUUGGAUGCUCUCUUUCUCAAUAACAACAAUUUCAUGACGAGUUUGCCUGACAAUUUAGGAAGCAACCAUAUUCUUUUUCUCACCUUAGCCAACAACAAAUUCAUUGGCCCACUCCCAAGAAGCAUUUUCAAGGCGUUUUCCUAUCUAACUGAGGUCCUACUCUUAAACAAUCAGCUCACCGGUUGUCUGCCUUAUGAGAUAGGUCUUCUAAAAGAGGCCAUAGUGUUCGAUGCUGGCAACAAUCAGUUGACUGGUCCAUUACCCUUGUCUCUGGCUUGUCUAGAGAAGGUAGAGCAGCUGAAUUUUGCUGGUAAUCUGUUGUUUGGUAUGGUGCCAGAGUUGGUCUGCGAGCUGGAAAAUUUGGUCAACCUAUCUUUGUCUGAUAAUUAUUUUACAACGGUUGGGCCUUUGUGUAGGAUUUUAAUUGAGAAAGGACUGCUUGAUGUUAGAAACAAUUGUAUUCCCGACCUUCCCUUCCAAAGAUCGGUAGUGGAAUGUGCAAAUUUCUUUGCACAGCCCAAGUUCUGCCCCAGAAUGUGGUCUUAUACUUACAUUCCUUGUAAAACCCCUUUUAUUUCUGGUUCUAUGAUUCCUGAAAUGGCUCCUUCACCUUGACCACUACCUCAUUUUCCUCAAUAUGCACCAGUAAUACCACUAAGUAUUUCGAAUUCUUUAGUUAAGAUUUUGUUUGCAUGUUUAGUCAUUCUUUUCACUUGCAUUCAAUUUAUGGAAAAGUUUUGCAAUUCCAUGCUCAAGUUAGAGAAAAUUGCAUGGAAAAUUUUAAUGUACCUUUCUCUUUGAAUGAGUAUUUGCAUGUACGUCGAC
rnacentral:misc_RNA from 1 species